rnacentral:lncRNA from 1 species
AGCCUAAUAGAUAAAAUUAAAAAUUAAAUUAAUAAUGCGAUAUGAUAUAGGGUUAAUAAAUAUGGACUAGUUGGGACAAGCAGCAAUCAAGUAGUCUGAAAUAUCAAGCUGAUCUGUCAUCCACAACCACGAAGAAUCUGACCAAUCCCGACAAGGAACGAGGGCCCACCCACUAUUAAAGAAUAUUGCCAUGUCAGCUCUUAAAAUAGUUUCAUACAUCAUUUCUCUAUAUAAUGCCAUACAAGUCCCCACCCUAGCUCUAAUAUCUUAGCCUGAAAACAAAUAGUGCUAAUUAAGAUGAAGCAUCAUCAAGUCGCCGGCGAAAGUUCUCUAACUCACGAUUCGAAGAGAACGAUCGGAGAAAAAUUCCGGCAGGCCUAUGAAGCAGCCAUGGUGGCUGCGGCAGGAGAUGGAGUUCAACGAGGUUGCAACGUUCCAAUUAAUAGAGGAAUUGAGAGGCGAAAGCCGAGCUACCGCGCUGAAGAUCCCAUCAGAACUAUUAUGUUUUUGGGGUCAUGGAGUCACACUUAGCCAUGGACUUUGAUCCAUUGAUUUGUAAAAACUGGGGCUGAUGUCGAUGAUGAGAUCAAUUUAUUGUGUAAAAAACCCAUUUUUAUGAAUCUAUACGUGAAUACUGUAAAAUAAGUUCUUUACAGCUAAUUGUAACAAACAUAAACCCUUCUUCACAUGAAAUAUUCACUGUUGCGCAGAGAUGGAGUUUGUUAAUAUUGUGUCCUGCAAAUUGAAUUAUUAAUUAAUUAGACUUGCCUAAUAUUAAUUUGUCUCGCUCUUUUUCACUUAUGUUAGUGAAAUUUCUACUUCCAAAUAUCGUGGCUUCACGGUAAUCAUCUUUCUUGAUUAUCUUAUUAUCGUUCAACUACUUAUAAACGAAUAAUGAAGCAGUUAUAACAUGAGAAACAAUAAUAUGGAAUAAAAGAUAUCUUAACAGGAAUCAAUCCCGUGAUUUCUGAUAAGUAAUUAACGCCCUCACCGUCCCUAUUCCCUUGUAUAAGAAUUAGUUAAUGAACUAAGAAAUCAUGCAUCCCUCACCACAAAUUCCUUACAUCAUACUAUCAUAGCUAGAGAAUAGAGAUCAAAGCAUUUUUUUAUCCAAGGAAAAAAAUAACAAUAAUCAUAAUAAAAACAAUAAUAAUAAAACCAAGCUUGUCAUGGAGCUGUUCUAACUUAACAAAUGUCCUUUGGUUCGAGGCCUAAGAAUGCAAUUGUAUUAAAUAUUUAUUGCGA